rnacentral:tRNA from 1 species
GAGGAGGUUACAAGACCUGCUAACUCUUUAAUCUGGGACUCGACCCCAGCCCCCUU